UACAGAGGUCUCAAGCGUUGUUCGGAUUCAUUGGGCGUAAAGGGUGCGUAGGUGGCAAAGUGAGUCGGGUGUGAAAUCCUGGGGCUCAACCCCGGAACUGCACUCGAUACUGCUCUGCUCGAGUACUGGAGAGGAGACUGGAAUUUACGGUGUAGCAGUGAAAUGCGUAGAUAUCGUAAGGAAGACCAGUGGCGAAGGCGGAUCUCUGGACAGUUACUGACACUGAGGCACGAAGGCCAGGGGAGCAAACGGG
rnacentral:rRNA from 1 species